rnacentral:lncRNA from 1 species
UAUCUUCUCUUUCUUCCUGCCUUGAACAGGAAUGUGGUGACUGGUGCUGUGGCAGCCAUCUUGCAACUAUGAGGCAGACACAGAGAGCAUUUCAGGGUCAAGAGUGGACAUAUAUCCUACUGUAUAGCACAGGAAACUGUAUCCCAUGUCUUGUGAUAGAACAUGAUGGAAGAUAACAUGAGAAGAAGAAUGUAUAUUAUAUGUAUCACUGGGUCACUUGGCUGUACAGCAGAAAUUGGUACAAUGCUGUAAAUCAACUAUAAUAAAAAAAAAAAGAAGUGGCCAUAUGCAACAAGUCUGAAAGUACUUUUAAAUCCGUUAUAUUUCUUUGUCAUUUGUUGAAGGCCGAAUGGUCCACCCACUAGUCAUUUUAACACUAGAGUCUUAAGACAAUGCCUCGUGUGGGAUGGGUUCUGUUGCCAAAAACUUUGUUCAUCUAUAACUGUUGGAGAAUGGGGCUCCACUAGAAACCUCUAAUGGGAAAGAGAACGGAAGCGAGAUGUCCAGCAGAGUACUGACCUUCUUCUCUGAACCGACGGACUUCUAGAAGUUUCUUCCACGUACUGAACGUUUGAGAAAUGCUCCUGAUAAUGUAAGUGCAAUUUGAUAGGUUUAUAAUAUGGUUAGUUCUUCAAAGUUCAGAAAAAAACCUAUAGUAAUUGUCUUGACCCAGAAUGGCAUGAAACAAUUCUUAUGACAGUUUGAUGACAAGGGUCUGAGGAAAGAGUUUUUAUGCAGCAAGAUCAUGUGUCUGCUUAAUUCUGUUGACAGUAAAAUAUGGAUUUCAGCUUAUUCUAUGGCUCGGAAAUACACUUUGUUGAAAUCAUAGUACCAUGUCUUUCUUUCCUAACACCACACAAGAUUACAGUAUGACUUGCAGAACGAACAUU